rnacentral:rRNA from 1 species
UACGGAGGGUGCAAGGCGUUAUCCGGAUUUACUGGGUUUAAAGGGUGUGUAGGCGGGCUUUUAAGUCAGUGGUGAAUCUCCGGGCUCAACCUGGAAACUGCCAUUGAUACUAUUAGUCUUGAAUUUUGUUGAGGUAGGGCGGAAUAAGUCAUGUAGCGGUGAAAUGCAUAGAUAUGACUUAGAACACCAAUUGCGAAGGCAGCUUGCUAAACAAAUAUUGACGCUGAGGCACGAAAGCGUGGGGGAUCAAACAGG